rnacentral:rRNA from 1 species
AACUUUCAGCAAUGGAUCUCUUGGCUCUCGCAUCGAUGAAGAACGCAGCGAAUAGCGAUAUGUAAUGUGAAUUGCAGAUCUACAGUGAAUCAUCGAAUCUUUGAACGCACCUUGCGCUCCUCGGUGUUCCGAGGAGCAUGCCUGUUUGAGCGUC